UGAGGAAUAUUGGUCAAUGGCCGGGAGGCUGAACCAGCCAAGUCGCGUGAGGGAAGACGGUCCUAUGGAUUGUAAACCUCUUUUGUCAGGGAGCAAAAACUGCCACGUGUGGCAGGAUGAGAGUACCUGAAGAAAAAGCAUCGGCUAACUCCGUGCC
rnacentral:rRNA from 1 species